ACAAUGGCAUUUCUGCAGCUCCUUAUGGCCAGGCUGCGCCAUGGAGCUGAGGGAAGCCCUGGGGUGCCAGAGGUGCCUGGUCUGGAGCUGCACAGGGAGGAGCCCAUUUCUGUCCCCAGAGCAAUGCUGGGCCCAGUGCCACAAGGGAGCUAGCUCCUCAUUGUGGCUGCAGGGGACAGAGACAAAUCAGCGGGUAAGAGCUUGGCAUUUUUCAGCCUUGAUGCCCAAUCGCUUCUGUGUUUUUUAAAUUAAGCUUGAAUUAAGCUUCAAGUCAAGAAGACUUUCCACAACUCCUGGAGUUGCGUCUGAGUUUUCACAUAAGCCCUGGGCUCAGUCUUGAUCUCUCUGAGAUAGGUGGCUUGUCCCAUGAGCUUGACCUUUCCCCAGAAGUCUGGACCCUCAAGUGGACAUGGACCUCUGGGCACCCUGCAAGCCUCCAGGCUGAGCACAGAUUCAAGAAGGGCAUCUGCUGCUCCACCCAGUGCUAACGGAGCUCACUCUGAUGGUGUUUGGCAGCCACCAGGAAAGGAAUUUGGUUGGAUCUCCUGAGAUGCAAGCACUUGGUUGACUGUAAAUAAACCUAUUUAAGUAGUUGCCUCUCUGCCUAGCAGGCAGUUUGGAGAACAUGGGAACUUUGGCCCUAAAGAAUGUAUAGCUUGUAACUUCUGGACUACUUGUUAUGAAGUCAUGUAUGUGAGAAUAAUGAAGGCAUCUCAUUAUAGGCUGUUCACAGCAACUGUGGUAGCAAAAAAAAAAAAAAAAAAGCCCUCGUGGAAGAUAUUAAGAGAUGAUCCCAAAGUAUGGUUUGAUGGAGUGUGGGGAAACAGGAUAAGGGUUUGAAGCCAUCCCUCAUGUAUUGCAACACUGAUGACUGCUGACUUGUCCUUCAGUGGUGCUGCCCACACCUGGGAGGAGGCCCUCCGUCCCCAGACUGUCUUUGCUGAGAGGAUAAAUCUGCUCUUUGAACCAUGUUCCAGUACCUUUCCUGGGUAGAAUUCACAGUUUUCUUUCAAUGAGAAGGAGGACCUGAAGCAUGGACCAACCUUGUUGAUAGAUGGAAAUAUGGGCCAGCAUUCAGCUCUGUAGUCCUCCUACAAGAAGUGCCUUUGGGGUGUUGCCUGGAGCAUUGUCAUGGCCCUGGGAGCUGCCAGGAUUUUACUGCUUCCUGUCUCACUGAGACCUGGUCAAAGUUUGAAAACCUGCGAUGUCUGCUGUCUGUAGCAUAGAUGGAGGCUAACAGCUGGAGAAUGUUGCCCCAUAAUGGGUCUCAGAGUCUUGGGAUCUUGCUGAAGAGGUGUGACAUUUAAAAUCUCUCAGGCCGUAAGCCAGACCCUCACUGCAGAGGCAGCCUCCCUUUACAUUUCUCCACAAGAUGCAAUGCGAAAAACCCUGUAAAGGUACUGGGACUCAUGUUCUCUUUCCAACAGUGCAAGAGAGGCUGCAGGGUCCAUGCAGGCAUAAUGUCUGCUGGGAAAUAGCUUCACUUUUAUGAAAUAAUUUCCAUGUGUCUUGGAGGGGGACAGAGUAAGAGAAGGUGGCAUGUGCUGGGUUGACUCUUGGUGUAACACAAAGGGACGCUUUGGGGCCCCAGUUCCUAAAAGAGUAAUAGCAGCACUCUGCCCUGGCAGCCCACUGAGCAUUAUUGUGGGUGUAUUUUUAUCAAGUGUGGGUUGUUUGCUGGUCAUAUACUUUUAGAUCCUCAAGUUCCUGCUGGGAGGAGAGAACUACAGCACUUUCAUAGCUCACCCAAAUCCUGCCACUGAGGAGAGCAGGAAUCACCUGAAGCUGAUAAGAAAUGCAGCCAGCACAGCAACUGGCCCUUCACCCUCCCCAGGGACCAUUAGGGUGGUUUCAACCUCUCAAAAUAUGUCUAUAUAUAGGGUCUGUUUUGUUUUUUAUGGUUUACAACUGAGGGUAUUGGCUACUGGAAUGUUUUAGGAAAAGGAAGGGGCUCCAGCAAGUGCAAGGGAGACGUUCUGCACCGGCGUGCGUGAGGUGAGGUGGGGUGAUGUGAGGUGAGGUGAGGGACAGGGGCAGGGUUAUUUCUGGAUCUCAGUGAGAAAGGCCUGACAACCAAUGUCUUAAUAAAGUAGUUGAUUUAGUAAGCUAAAAUAAAAAGCGGGACAAAUAAUUGCU